UUGGAGGGCAAGUCUGGUGCCAGCAGCCGCGGUAAUUCCAGCUCCAAUAGCGUAUAUUAAAGUUGUUGCAGUUAAAAAGCUCGUAGUUGAAUUUCGGGAUCAAUACGUCGGUCGUGCCUUGGUACGUACUGGCAUUAUUGAUUUCUCCCUUCUGAAGAACCACGAUGUCAUUAAUUUGGUGUCUUGGGGAAUCAGGACUGUUACUUUGAAAAAAUUAGAGUGUUUAAAGCAGGCUCACGCUUGAAUACAUUAGCAUGGAAUAAUGAAAUAGGACGUUCGAUCCUAUUUUGUUGGUUUCUAGGAUUGACGUAAUGAUUAAUAGGGAUAGUUGGGGGCAUUAGUAUUCAAUUGUCAGAGGUGAAAUUCUUGGAUUUAUUGAAGACUAACUACUGCGAAAGCAUUUGCCAAGGAUGUUUUCAUUAAUCAAGAACGAAAGUUAGGGGAUCGAAGACGAUCAGAUACCGUCGUAGUCUUAACCAUAAACUAUGCCGACUAGGGGAUCGGAUGAUGUUAAUUUUUAAUG
rnacentral:rRNA from 1 species